CACGUAGGGUGCGAGCGUUGUCCGGAAUUAUUGGGCGUAAAGAGCUCGUAGGCGGUGUGUCGCGUCGGCCGUGAAACCUGCAGCUUAACUGUGGGCUUGCGGUCGAUACGGGCAUCACUGGAGUUCGGCAGGGGAGACUGGAAUUCCUGGUGUAGCGGUGAAAUGCGCAGAUAUCAGGAGGAACACCUAUGCGAAGGCAGCUCGCUGGGACGUUACUGACGCUGAGAGCGCGAAAGCGUGGGGAGCAAACAGG
rnacentral:rRNA from 1 species